rnacentral:lncRNA from 1 species
UGAAGAGCCAGGCCAGGGUGACUGCGACCCUCGUGGAGCAUGCGCAGCCAGGAGGAUAUAGAUGGGAAGGAUUGGGGAAGAGUGGCCAGAGCUCCUCUCUGGGGAUCUCUUCACCAGUGAAGAAACCAUCUGAAAGGAAGAAGGGUCCUUGGCUGAUUGUGAUGGAUUCUCAGCUCCCAUCCAGC